UGAAGCAGGUGGAAGCGUCACAGUGUAGUAGAUACAUGUGUGGGCUCUGGAGUCCGUGUCUGGGCUUCAAAUCCUGGCUGUGUCGAUUAUGGACUCUCUGACUUUGGACAGGUCACGAAGCCUUCCUGUUCUUUGGAGCACCAGGCACCUGAUCUGAGCGUGAAGAAAACCCUCGAGGUCGUAUCAUGGAAUCAAUUCCUUGCCUGAGUAGUGUGGGAAACAACUGGAUGAGAAUUAGACUAACUGGAAUUGAUCUGCAACCCUGUGGUGUGACUCCAGGCAAGUUUCAGACCCCUCCCCCACUCCCUCCAACACACCCAAAGCAGCUGGGUUUCCACCCUUUUAAG